CAUGAGUGACAGGACUACACAUAUAUGGAAGAGGAUGUCCGAAACGCUGUUUUACUUUACUACUAAAAUUGUCUCAAGUGGAUGAGUUUCUUCUUUUAUUUCUAUAUUAAUCGGCGUUGGUACUAUAAAGACAUAUGUAUGUAGACAUAUGUAGCUCUUAACGUUAACAUAAGCUUUGUUUUGGUGGUGCCCGAAUCAAACUUCCUGCGUUAUUACAAGAAUCAAUCGAUCCUUACUGCUAUAAACGCAAAGAACAGCAUUAUAGGGGAGCUAUCGCGUUAUUUAGUAUUCGUUACGUCACUUGGGGGCGGAAGUGUUUUGGCGUGGAAUAGAAAGUACAUUUGUUGGAAGAUAUUUCUACUACAACGCUUCUCCUUUAUGCAGUACCUGCUCAGAAUACUGGCGUUUGUCUAAACCCGUUUAUAUAUACAUUUUAUUAAAAAAAAAACAACAACAACAACAAACGGUGUAGUUUAUGUCUAGUUAACGUCGUGUCUGCGCAGUCUUGGCUAACCCCUAAAUCCGAGUGCACCGAAUAAUAUCAAAUACACAAAAACAUUGUUGCCAUUUAACCAAGUGUUUAGUUGACCUUGCUUAGUCAGUUAGCAUUAUGUCUCUGACUAAAGCACUUAAAUAGACUGUUAUGUAUGGCUGCAAUCCAUAUUUUAAGAUUUGCUCACCAAACAUUAAAGAAAGGACUGUCCAAGAAACAGGUCUGGACAAAACCAACUAUCUUCUCUUUCGUGGUGACAGCUCAAGUUGUAUUAAUGGCUGAAUUGACAGACUUUGAACCUUUAGCAAAGAGACUCAGGGUUGAAACCAGUGCCUCAGGGUCUCCUCCGUCUUCUCUCCAAGCUCCAUGUUUAAGUAGUAAUAGCAUAGAUAAUGAGGCAGUAGAUCAAGAAAAGAGACAAAAGAACACUGAGCCCAAGAUGGACAUACGACCAAAGGCUGGAGCAGGUGGUUUACAAGGAGUAAAGAAGAAAACCUUCCAACAAAAACACAAACAACAUAAACAGAGAUUCAGAAACAGUCUUGAAGAAUGGCUGGUCAAGCCCAGAAAAGACCCUAGUACAGCUGAAGUGUGCCAAAGCCAAUAUGAUGCAAAUAUGACAGAUGGUGGUGGUUUUCAAAGUACUUCAGCUCAGUCUGUGGACUGCCAAAAUGUUGAAAAAUUUACUGUGUCUGACAUGAAUCAAGAAGAAGAAGAAACCCAACCCCUGACACCACAAGACCUGGAGGAAGACCAGCCUUUGUCACCAGCAUCCAAGGAUUCUGCAGGGAUUGGUCAUAAGCACACUUUGCUCCUCAGUGAUGGUGAAUUAGAAAAACAAGAAAUGGAAAGAAACUCAGCCAUCUCAGAGGGUUCUGCCAAACACAAUACCAAAAUAACAGACUUCUUCUCAAGGACCUCAUCACCAAGUUUAUCUAGGAGAUUGACCAGGCCAGACAAGCAUCCAGAGAAACAAGAUGCAGACAAGGAAACUACCUCUGCUGAUGUCAAGACUAAAGUCAAAUGGCUGGGAACGCCAAUCAGUGAGUUAAAGAGAAUGCCUCAAUGUGGCAGGACGCUUCCACGACUGAAGGAUGUUCCUGGUCAGCACACUGUGAUGAUAAGGACAGACCUUCUUCAGCAUGAUAAAGUUCCUGUUCCAUAUCCUGCCAAGUUUGUGGAUACCUGGGAUGAUGUCCAUGUCAAAAAGCCUUUUUCCAGUAGUAACCUUUUUCCUGUAAAAGAUCAGGAAACACAAGAACGACAGAAUAAGAGUCGGUGGGAGUUGAUCAAGAAAGCAUUAAGCAAGAAAUUCACAAGUCCUUGUGAGCUGAAGAAUGCAAUAUUGAAAUACAGUGCCUCCCAGGCCAAGAAAUGGGACUUCACAGCCUUAGAGUUGUACUGCACUAAGGUCCUGGAGUGUGAUGCUGCUGAACAUCUGUUUGGCUCCCUGCUGCCAGACAUGGUGCAAUUAGCGCUGAGAGGAUCUGAGCUCUGUACCAAGCCGAUACCCCUCCUUAAAAAAGGAAUGAACCACUCCAUCACCAUGUCUCAGGAGCAGGUGGCUUGUCUGCUCGCCAACGCCUUCUUCUGCACUUUUCCACAACGCAGCUCCAGAAAAACGCCGUACCACAACUACCCAGACAUCAACUUCUUCAGGCUGUUUGAAGGUCUCUCUUCAAAAAAGAUCGAGAAGCUGAAAACAUUGAUGUGCUAUUUUAAAAGUGUCACUGAGCAAAAGCCUACUGGACUUGUAACUUUCACACGAAGAAGUUUGGAUAAACCCCUUAAUUGGAAAAGCUCACAGAUUCCGCUUACGAAGCUGCACAUUACUUGUGAAGGGACCAUUGAGGAUGAUGGUCAUGGAAUGCUUCAGGUGGACUUUGCCAAUCGGUUUGUUGGGGGAGGAGUCACCAGUUCUGGUUUAGUCCAAGAGGAAAUUCGUUUUCUGAUCAACCCUGAGCUGGUUGCUUCUCGCCUCUUCACUGAAGCCCUGUAUCAUAAUGAGUGUCUGAUUAUUACAGGUACGGAGCAGUACAGUAAAUACACCGGCUAUGCUCAGACCUAUCAGUGGGCUGGUAGCCACCAGGACACAACUCCUAGAGAUGGCUGGCAGAGAAGAUGCACAGAGAUUGUAGCCAUUGACGCACUGCAUUUCAGAAACUUUCUUGAACAGUUUCAUCCGGACAAAAUCAACAGAGAACUCAACAAGGCCUACUGUGGCUUUGCCCGCCCUGAGGAGCGAAGCCAAAACCUUGCAGCUGUGGCUACAGGGAACUGGGGCUGUGGGGUGUUUGGAGGUGAUGCACGUCUGAAAGCUCUGCUCCAGAUGCUGGCAGCUGCUGAGGCGGGCCGAGAUGUGGCCUACUUCACCUUUGGUGACAGCCAGCUCAUGACAGAUGUCCACAACAUGCACACUUUUCUCAGUCAGAGGAACAUCAGUGUUGGGGAGGUGUAUGAUCUGCUGGGGCGGUACUACAGCACAGUGUGCAAGAGCUGUCUCGGUCGGCGCCCUGACGUCAAUCUCUACUCCUUCAUCUACCAACAGGUCAGCUCCUCCCAUGUGCCCAGCGACUCCAACAGGGGCUUGGCCAGACAACACGUCCCUGCAGACAGCCGUUAAGCAGUGCUAGUGGUGUGGAUUUCCAGACUGGAAUGUGGGCAUGAAAUAUGUUUGGUGGAUUGCAGUGAAAUGGCCCCUGACUUUUCCUCUAGCGCCACCAGCAGAUCUGAGAGUUUACCCAGUUGGUCAUCUUGUCCCUCCUCUCUAAAAGCUUCUUUUGGAGAACCUCUCCAACACCUCCAGGAGCCC